rnacentral:lncRNA from 12 species
CAGCUUGAAAACGAAAACAGAAAAGUCAUCAAAGCUCAGUCCGGGGCUGAGGAUGAGGCCUGCGUCCUUUGAAGACAGCAGCAUGGAAAUGUGCCCAGGUGAAUUGGCAGUCCCACUGAGAAGUGAAAAUAGAUGUCCAUUCACACUGAGACGGCUUUUCGGGUCCCGGCCAAUUCUGCCAGGCUGCCAACAGGGUGGCGUGACUGAGAGGGAAAUGAAUUGUGGGUACAGAGGGUUCCUCUUGACGUUCAAGACAACACCACUGUUAAGGAAGAACCCUUUCCCCCUUUUGGACCCCACUGACUUUCAUUCUACAGUAUGUAUAAAAACACAAAACAUCCCUAGAGAAAAAUAACACACACACACACACACACACAUCGUUUCGAACGAUGUCAGUAAAUGUUAAUAGAUUUUACCUUUAUUUAGUAUGAAAUAAAUGUAUUUUAAAUAUGUGACUUUUUUGAUACAUUUGUUUUUAAAUUGCAUGUUAUUCCUUUAUUUUGAUUUCAGUAGAAGUACCAAAAAAGAAAUAUCAUCUCAUUUUAUUGUGUCAUUAAUUAACUGUACUCAUUAAAGCUUAAAUUUCACGUUCCCAAAUAGCAGUCUGUGGAAAAGUACAGAAGACAUUAAAAAUGAAAAGAGCUGACUUUAACUAAUGAACAAAAGUUAAGUUUAGUAGCAGCUUGAAGUUCCACUCAGAAAUCCACACCCAAGUUGCAGAGUGUAAAUGAACAGCAUACCCCUGGGAUACAAAACCUACCUUCUGAUCAGCAGUGUGUCACCGCUGGGGCUAUGUCAAGAUGUCGUGGCUCUCAGAGAAUUCAGCCUUUGCUUAGUGUAAAUGGCAUUUGCUCCCUAUGCUAACACUGAAAGUGUGUGAGUUUGUGUGUGUGUGUGUGUGUGUGUGUGUGUGUGCCCUCUGGUGCUUUGACACCAUUACCACAUAUCAAUUAAACGUGUUACUCGUGCAUUCAAGGUGCAGACGGAUCAGAGCCUGGUGUGUUCUCUCUCAUAAAGGGCCUUUGGAAGAAGCUUGCAAAGUUUUUCCUCUAACUGAGCGAGAUUAUUCCCCAAAGAGAAGAAAAAGUAAAAAAAAAAAAAAUAUAUAUAUAAAAAAAAAAAAUAUGGAAAUCAAUUUUAAAUUAUGUCAGGACCACUGAGGCCUGCUUGUGCUGACUGAACUGAUAAACCAGGAUGAAGAGAAAACAGCAAUUUUCUCAAACAUAUUCAAGAAAGAUGAAUGUGAUUUUCUUUUCUAGAAAUAUAAAUUGACAAGAAUAAUGGAAAGAAUAGCACUUUCGAAUAGGGCCAUCGUCAGUGGGGGGAACAUGUAUAUAAAGGAGAAACAUGUGAACCAUGAUUAAUUUUGUAGAACUAUAGCAUAUACACUAGUGUGCAAGUUUUUUUUGUUUGUUUUUUUUGAAAGAAGUCUUAUCAAGGUUGCAUCUAUUUAAUCAAAAAUACAGUAAAACAGUAAUAUUUUGAAAUAUUAUUACAGUUUAUUUCAAUGUAAUAGUUUGAAUAGUUUUCUAUUUGAAUAUAUUUUAAGUCUUCACAGUCUUCAGUGUCUCAUAAUCCUUCAGAAAUCAACCUAAUACUUAAGAAAUACAAUGUUACCAAUGUUUCUUUGAGUAGAAAAAGAACAGCAUUUAUUUAAAAUCAAAAUCUUUUGUAACAUUAUAAAUGUUAAAUUUUGAUCAAUACAGUGCAUCCUUGCUGUGAUAUAUAUACAGUAUAUGUAUAUGUAUGUAUGUAU